rnacentral:rRNA from 1 species
UACGAAGGGGGCUAGCGUUGCUCGGAAUCACUGGGCGUAAAGGGUGCGUAGGCGGGUCUUUUAAGUCAGGGGUGAAAUCCUGGAGCUCAACUCCAGAACUGCCUUUGAUACUGAAGAUCUUGAGUUCGGGAGAGGUGAGUGGAACUGCGAGUGUAGAGGUGAAAUUCGUAGAUAUUCGCAAGAACACCAGUGGCGAAGGCGGCUCACUGCCCGAUACUGACGCUGAGGCACGAAAGCGUGGGGAGCAAACAGG